UACGUAGGGUGCAAGCGUUAAUCGGAAUUACUGGGCGUAAGCGUGCGCAGGCGGCUUUGCAAGACAAGAUGUGAAAUCCCCGGGCUCAACCUGGGAACUGCAUUUGUGACUGCAAGGCUAGAGUACGGUAGAGGGGGAUGGAAUUCCGCGUGUAGCAGUGAAAUGCGUAGAUAUGCGGAGGAACACCGAUGGCGAAGGCAAUCCCCUGGACCUGUACUGACGCUCAUGCACGAAAGCGUGGGGAGCAAACAGG
rnacentral:rRNA from 1 species